GGAUUGAAGGCUGAAAUUCGCCUUCAUGAAGCCGGAAUUGCUAGUAAUGGCAGGUCAGCAUACUGCCGUGAAUACGUUCCCGGGCCCUUGUACACACCGCCCGUCACACCAUGAGAGUUGGGAAUACCCGAAGCCUGUGAGCUAACUUUUAGAGGCAGCAGUCGAAGGUAGAAUCAAUGAUUGGGGUGAAGUCGUAACAAGGUACC
rnacentral:rRNA from 1 species